CAAAUUAUUGAAACACUACAAAUAAUAUUUGAUAAAUAAUAAAAUUUAUUAGUUUUUUGGUUUCUAGGGCGGCCUAAGAUACGUAGUGGGUGCCUCAUUUUAGUGAAAACCAAUCGGCGGCAGUAUAAAAAAUUGUGCAAUGUUUAUAUAAAAGGAUGACACAGUGGUUUCUAUUAGGAUGGUCCAACAACGUGCCAGCAGACGCGGUUAGACGUUGCAUCCAAGUGUAUUAAAAAAGCAAAAAGGGUGUUGAGGCGGAGGAAGAAAAGAUAGUUGUAACUUUUUUGUAAAGAUAAAAUUUAAUUAUAAAAAAAGGUGGGCUCGAGGCGAAGGCGAAUUAUUAUUCAUUCCAAUGUUUGAACACGAAAGUGAGGGUAAUUAACGGGAUUAGAUACCCCGGUAGUCUUUACUGUAAACUAGGAUAGAUUUGUAAUAAAAUAUUAUAUGAAUUUUGUUCCGCUUGAAGAGUAUGGCCGCAAGGCUGAAAUUUAAUGGACUUGGCGGUUCAUGGGAAAUUAGAGGAGCGUGUAGUUUAAUUCGAUAGUGCCCGAGAAUCUUACCUUCAUUAAGUGGUAUUGCAUGGCCGUUAUAAGUUUUUAUUGAAAGAUAAAGGCGUUACCUCAUGUGGGGGAGAAGACAGGUCAUUAUGGUCUUGAUAUGGGGGGAUGUAUGCGCUACAUUUUUCUAGAGAUAGAAGUGCGGAAAAUGUGUUGAAAGGCAGUUGUAAGUAGGAUUUAAUAGUAAUGGGGUGUAGAGGGGCCCCGUGAAUGUUUUCAUAUGUUCGUACAAAUUGCCCGUCAAUUUCUUGAAAGGGGAAAUAAGUCGUAACAAAGUAAGGGUACUGGAAAGUGUUCUUGGAUAA
rnacentral:rRNA from 1 species